AGGUUUGAAAUUCUUCGGCAGUUAACUGCCGAAGUUUUCCUCGGCAGUUAACUACCGAAGGGCAU
rnacentral:pre_miRNA from 1 species